AUUUUUUAAGAUUGAUAUUGAUGAUAAAUAUUUUUUUCACUUAUUAUUUUCUCUUAAUUAAAUGUUUGCAGCCUGAUUAUUAAAAAUAAAAAUUGAAUGUGGCCCAUAAAUCUGAAAAGGUUGCCAAUCCCUGGUCUAAAAAAAAUCUUGAUCUUAUAAGAAUGCAGGAGUUAAUCACUGCUUAAAAAGAUCAACAUACAUUUUAAUAAUAUAAAGGAUAAGCAGCAAAAAUUGGAAAGGCUGACUAAUGUCUUUAAGAUGCAUGAAUAUGAUAUGAAGUCAAUGCAAAUAUGAUGAGGUUUCUCAUUGUGCCUCAAAAAGAUCAUUCAUGAUACUGCAUUUUUGCUAUCUCGGAACCACUAAACCAUCAACAUAAUACCUCACAUCUUGGUUUGAGUAGAAUCAGGGUUCCUUUAGCCAGAUAUGGAACUCAAACAUGAGGUUCCUACCCUUGUUAUCCCUCUCUAUGACAAGGAUGCAAAGUUGGAAUUAAAGAAGGCCAAAAAGCUCAAGUAUCCCAAUAGUCUCUUCGACCCAAGGUUUACCAUUCUUUCAAUUGGCAUCAUUAAGGCUUCUAUCCUUCUGCUAUUCAUCCCUUCACCACUGUAUGCCACCUUGGGAUUUUUAGAAAGCUUCUAUCCCAUACAGAGCAUAUUGAAUUAUUGAUUAUGACAAUGUAUUAAAAAAUUGAAUGUCUAUGCAUCAUGUGAAAUUGAUGAUUCAAAAAACAUCUAAAUGAUAUAUAUUUAUUAAAGGUUGUAUUUUAUGAAUAAAAUAUGUUUAACUUCCAUUAUGUGCUGAUGAUAAC
rnacentral:lncRNA from 1 species